GACGAACGCUGGCGGCGUGCUUAACACAUGCAAGUCGAACGGAAAGGCCCUGCUUUUGUGGGGUGCUCGAGUGGCGAACGGGUGAGUAACACGUGAGUAACCUGCCCUUGACUUUGGGAUAACUUCAGGAAACUGGGGCUAAUACCGGAUAGGAGCUCCUGCUGCAUGGUGGGGGUUGGAAAGUUUCGGCGGUUGGGGAUGGACUCGCGGCUUAUCAGCUUGUUGGUGGGGUAGUGGCUUACCAAGGCUUUGACGGGUAGCCGGCCUGAGAGGGUGACCGGCCACAUUGGGGCUGAGAUACGGGUCAGACUCCUACGGGAGGAAGCAGGGGGGAAGAGUGCACAAUGGGCGGAAGCCGGAUGCCGCAACGCCGCGUGAGGGAGGACGGCCGUCGGUUUGUAAAACGCUUUCGCCUGUGACGAAGCGUGAGGGACGGUAAUGGGUAAAGAAGCACCGGCUAGCUACGUG
rnacentral:rRNA from 1 species